rnacentral:rRNA from 1 species
ACGUAGGGUGCGAGCGUUAAUCGGAAUUACUGGGCGUAAAGCGUGCGCAGGCGGUUUGUUAAGUCAGAUGUGAAAGCCCCGGGCUCAACCUGGGAAUGGCAUUUGAAACUGGCAAGCUUGAGUAUGGCAGAGGGGGGUGGAAUUCCGCGUGUAGCAGUGAAAUGCGUAGAGAUGCGGAGGAACACCGAUGGCGAAGGCAGCCCCCUGGGCCAAUACUGACGCUCAGGCACGAAAGCGUGGGGAGCAAACAGGAUUAGAUACCCUGGUAGUCCACGCCCUAAACGAUGCUCACUAGGUGUUGGGGAAGCGAUUCCUUGGUACCGUAGCUAACGCGUGAAGUGAGCCGCCUGGGGAGUACGGCCGCAAGGUUA